GUUGAACGCUGGCGGCAGGCUUAACACAUGCAAGUCGAGCGGAGUGAUGGUGCUUGCACUAUCACUUAGCGGCGGACGGGUGAGUAAUGCUUAGGAAUCUGCCUAUUAGUGGGGGACAGCAUCUCGAAAGGGAUGCUAAUACCGCAUACGUCCUACGGGAGAAAGCAGGGGAUCACUUGUGACCUUGCGCUACUAGAUGAGCCUAAGUCGGAUUAGCUAGUUGGUGGGGUAAAGGCCUACCAAGGCGACGAUCUGUAGCGGGUCUGAGAGGAUGAUCCGCCACACUGGGACUGAGACACGGCCCAGACUCCUACGGGAGGCAGCAGUGGGGAAUAUUGGACAAUGGGGGGAACCCUGAUCCAGCCAUGCCGCGUGUGUGACGAAGGCCUUAUGGUUGUAAAGCACUUUAAGCGAGGAGGAGGCUCUUUUGGUUAAUACCCAAGAUGAGUGGACGUUACUCGCAGAAUAAGCACCGGCUAACUCUGUGCCAGCCGCCGCAGUAA
rnacentral:rRNA from 1 species